UACGUAGGGGGCAAGCGUUGUCCGGAUUUAUUGGGCGUAAAGAGCGUGUAGGCGGCCUGAAAGGUCAGCUGUGAAAACUCGAGGCUCAACCUCGAGACGUCGGUUGAAACCAUCUGGCUAGAGUCCGGAAGAGGAGUGUGGAAUUCCCGGUGUAGCGGUGAAAUGCGCAGAUAUCGGGAAGAACACCCGUGGCGAAGGCGGCUCACUGGACCGGUUCUGACGCUGAGGCGCGAAAGCGUGGGGAGCAAACGGG
rnacentral:rRNA from 1 species